GGGCCUAUAGCUCAGUCGGUUAGAGCAGCGGACUCAUAAUCCGUUGGUCGACAGUUCAAGUCUGUCUGGGCCCA
rnacentral:tRNA from 1 species